rnacentral:lncRNA from 1 species
GGAGCCCAGCCUCUUGCGUUCCUGUGUGAUGGGGCCGGAGCCAGUAAACAGGCUUCCUUCUCGCUCUGCUGUAUAAGAAGAAGAAGUAGGAGAAACAAAAUAAGGAGGAGAAGAAGUAAAAUAAUUUGAGAAGGAAUAUGAAGAAACUGAAACUAGCCUGAGAAGGAAGAUACUGAGUCAGAUGGAGCCAUUUAUAUAUGGAGAUCCAGGAUUUAUAAGAUCCAUACCAUUGAAUUUGAAGUAAGGAUACGAUCAAGCUGAUAAUCCAAAGUGCACUAACUUCUAAGGACGGAAAUGUUUCUCUGGGGCUAUCAUUGCACCCUCGCUCUCUGGAAUUUCGGUAUCAUGAGAACACAUAAGUAAGAGCCAAAAUUCAUAGGGAUUCUGCCUGGAGAGGAACACAGGGAUUCUGAAAUAACCAUGACAUACAUAAGUACCUCCAAUUAUUUGCCUCUCAGACAAAGCCAGCAGCUGUUGAAAUAUGGUAAGAAAAAUGGUUCAGGGGUUUUCCCCCAUGACUCAAGACAAGCAUUUACAUUAUUUACACACUCAAUGUCUCUUCUGACUUAUGAUUGCCUUACAAUCUAUGGAAUAUAUUUAGUGUCCCUGUGGAAGCAAUUAUACAUGAAACAUCAACAUAUAUUUAUAUAGUAGACAGCACUUUCAUAGGUCCCUGCAGUGUAUUUUAACAGUAGUGGAAACUAAAGUUUUGGUGUAAUGUGUUUUUAUCUAUCAUUCAGAUCAAAGAAUACCCAGUACUUGAAAAGUUUAGAAAGCAGUUGAAAGUUACAUAGAGAUGUAGAAAGCAUUAAAGUGGUAGAAAUUAAUUAAAAGUCUUAGAAUAUAUGAGCUGUAAUUAGACUGGGUUUUAAUGUUUAGUUUGUUAAUAUUUAAAUAUAAACCUCACAAUGGAACUUGGCAAUUUAAGAGAUUUACAGAUAAUUUAUCCUUAAAAGUAUGAAGGAUGUCUGUUACUCAAAUAUCCAUCCCAUUAAAUUGAAAAGUUUUAAGUAUUGAUUCUUCUGUAAAUAAUAGAAGACUCCAUUAAAUUCCUUUACAGUUCUGUACAUCUAGACUAAAAUGAAACACCAAAAUAUGAAAUUAUCUCAAAAUGAAAA